rnacentral:rRNA from 1 species
CAAACAGUAAUUCAAAGGGGUUAUUAAGGAAAAACUAGCAAAUUUAUAAAAAAGGAGGGCACAAGUCCAAAAGCCACAAUUUACCGAAAGGUGAUCAAGUUUCAUUAGAUUUAUUUAAUGUUGACAAAGAAUGUAGGCGAUCCUAAGGGAAACCUUUAUAUUUAAACUUCCCGAAGUAAAACAUUUCAUUAGGGAAAGGAAAGGAAAUCAACCGAGACUCCGAAAGUAAUGGCGAGUGAAAUCGGACUAGCCUUUAUUUAAAAAUAAAUUUAACAAAAAUACACACCAGAAACCAAAGAAGGUAAAACAGUCCUGUAUGUUAAAUCUUUUUAAAACUAAUGUUUAAAUAAGUAUUAUUAAAUUAAAAUUUAUUUAAAUAAUGAGUACGACGAGAGCGAACUUGUCGGAAUAUAGGGGAACCAUCCUCUAAGGCUAAGUAUUUAUAAAUUUAGCGAUAGUGAAAAGUACCGUGAGGGAAAGUUUGAAAUAGUUAUGUAAUUUUAGACAUAAAUGAAAUAGUUGAAUUAGUAACUCUAUAAGCAGUCGAAAUUUAUAAUUAUAAAUGACGGCGUACCUUUUGCAUAAUGGGUCAGCAAGUUAAUAGGAGUAGCAAGGUUAAAAGCCUUAGUGAAAGCGACCACACUAACUAGCUAAAAGUAUUCUUAAUUUCAUAGAUAUUAAGAAUAGGAUAUCCUUCAUAGUCAUAAGGCUAAGAAGUUAAAUAUUUUCUAGGAAUAUAGUGAUGGGUAAGUUACUUCUAUUAGACCCGAAGCUAGGUGAUCUUCCUAAGACCAGAUUAUAAUGGAUCGAACGGGUGAAUGUAGCAAAAUUCUCCGAAGAGUUUUAGGAAGCGGUGAAAUGCCAAUCUGACCUAGUGAUAGCUGGUUUUCUACGAAACAUAUGUAAGUAUGACAUCUAAACAAAAUUUAUGGUGGUACAGCACUGAGUUCCCAACUAUUUCUUUUUUUUAAAGAAAAGUUUAGGUUGCGGGGACGUCGAAAAUCUUACCAAUGGAAGAGAAUCUCGGAAUGACAUAAAUUGAUGAUAGAUAUUCAGACUGCUCAUGCGAAGUUGGGUAGUCAAGACGGAAACAGCCGAGAACACGAAACAAGGUCCCAAAUGAUUUUUAAGUGAAAUGAAGGAAGUAAUAUAUUGAAUGCAGCUGUAAAGUGAGCCUGGUAGUCGCUAUCUUUUAAUAAACGUAAUGUAACAACGUAGCAGCCUUAAACAAUAGAAUAUUACACCAAAAAUUUAACGGGUCUCAAAAAAUCAACCGAUAUCGUGUUUAUUUUGAAUAAUAAAAAUUAAUAUUCAAUAUACAGGUAGUAGAACAUUCAGUAUACUGAUGAUAAAACAGUGUUUCAUUGUUUUUAGGUCACUGAAGAGAGAAUGCUGACAUGAGUAACGUAAAAAGAAGUUAUAAUACUUCUCGCCGAAUACGAAAGGGUUGUAAGGAAAGGUUAAACCACCUUAUGUUAAUGCGGCCUCUAAGGAACAAAACCAAAGUUUUGUCUGAUGAGUAUGAAUUAGAAAGUCCAUUUUUAAAAAUAAAAAUUUAAUAAAGGGACCAGGAAAAGAAUAUAUUCUUAACUACCGUACCCUAAACCGACACAGGUUCGUAAGUAGAGUAUACUAAGGCGUAGAGCUAAAAGUUGUUAAGGAACUCGGCAAGUUCUCCUCAUAAGUUUGACGAUAAGAGGAACCCGAUAAGGGUGGCACAAAAUCGGAGGCCCCGACUGUUUACUAAAAACACAAUUCAGAGCAAUGAUGAAAAAUCAUAGUAUUCUGGAUGAAAUUUGCCCAAUGCCAUUAACAUAAAAGAGGUUAUGGGUAACUGUAACUGAUUGAAAGUCUGGUUAAUAGCGGUCUUAACUAUGAGGAUCCAAAGGUAGCAAAAUAAAUUGGCCAUUAAAUGUGGUCUGGUAUCAAUAGUGUAACGAUGGUCUCACUGUCUCUACAACUUGCUCAGUGAAAUUGAAUUACCCGUGCAGAUGCGGGUUGCCUCCAGGUGGACGGGAAACUUAAAUUAUAUCUGGAAUUAAAUUAAAAUGCGACUAGCUAAGUUUACUAUAAUAAUGUUGUGUAAACCAACCAGAUAACCCAUUAUCUGAGCUCAAACAGCAUGUUUUCGGAGUAAUCCUAAAUCAUGAAGCCUGUUUAUAUGUAAUUAUUCAAUAUGGGAAAAGUAUUUAAAUUGAAUAUCUCAUAUAAGAGCUAGAUACCUAUGAACAAUGUAAUGUGAAUUCACGUCAGAAGCGGUAUGAUUGAUUGUAGAAAGACGUUCCCGUGUUUUUCUUAAUGGGUCUAAAUGUCUCAUAGCGUAUAGUGGAGUUCUAAGGGUAUCAUUAAAGUAUUAUAGUAAAAACUAGGUAAGCCCAAUAAUAACCAAUUUACAAGAAUUAUAAAUUGGAGGUUUAUCUGCGAAGAUAAAUAACUAUUAGUGGGUAUAGGAUAUUCAAAAAAGCUAAAGCCUUGUUGUAAUUACAAGGAUAGGUUCAGUUGAACUAACCUGAAAGGGUGCUGACUUUGAAUUAGUGUUAAGUUAUAAUUGUUAAAAAUUUUAUUAGAAGUAAUAAAACUUAAAAAUUUUUCAUUCUAGUACCAGCUCCAAUUAAUCCAGAGUAGGUUAAUCUUACUCCAAUGUGUUUAGUAUGCUAUAACAUAUUUUAAUAAAAAAACUAUGGAUAAUGAUGAAUAGAAAUUUUACUAAACCUAAUAAAAAUUUAAUACCUUGGCAGGUUACAGGAUUAACAGAUGGUGAAGGAUCAUUUGUUUAUUCUAUAACUAAUACAGGUAAAGGCUCAACAGGCCAAAAAAUAAGUUUAGAAUUUAAAGUAACACAAAAAACACAUUCAGAAGGAGUACUUUAUGAACUUAAAGAAUAUUUUGGGUGUGGGAACGUAGUUAUAGAUAAUAGAAAAACAGAUACAAAAAAAUUUCAUAUUAAUUCUUUAAAACUUCUUUUAGAAAAAGUAAUACCUCAUUUUGAUGAGUAUCCUUGUCUUACUUCUAAAGAAUUAAAUUAUAAAGAUUGGAAAAAAAUUUGUCUUAUCAUGAGUAAAAAAGAACAUUUAAACUUAACAGGAAUGGAAGAAAUAAAUAAAAUAGUUUUACUAAUGAAUAAAAAUAGAUCUUUUGAAGAUAAAUAUAAUCACUGUAAAUCUUUUUUAGGUUUAUCUGAUUUAGAAGUCAAAUAUGAUUUACCAGAUAAUUGGGUACAAGGAUUUUUAACAGGUGAAGGUUUAUUUUAUCAUUAUUUAAAUGGUACUGUAAUUAACCCUUCUCUUGAAUUAGGUCAAAAUAGUCAUGAUGUAGCUAUUUUAAUAGCUCUUAAAAAAUUUUUCAAUGGUGGUUAUAUAAAACCUAAAUAUAAAUUUAAUGAUUUAGAAGAAUGUAAAAAUUCAAGAUCUCUAAAUAGAUUUAUUUUAAGAAACACAGAAACUAUUAUCCAGUUUGUGGAUAAAUAUCCUAUGUUAACUAGAAAACAUCUAGAUUACGAAGAUUGGAAAAAAGUUGUAGAAUUAAAAAAUAAAGGUUUACAUAAAACUGAAGAAGGUUUAGCUUUAAUAAAUGAAAUAGUAUCAAAAAUGAAUUCUAAAAGAGAUUCAGAUUAUAAUCCCUAGCUUAAAAUUUUAAACAAUUAUAAUAAACUUAAUGCUUGAGCUGUAUGCGAUGAAAGUCGCACGUACAGUUCUUAGAGGAUGUCAAAGUUGUAAAACUUGGCGGAGCCUCAACAGACCCUAUGCAGCUUUACUGUAGUUAGCUAUCAUAUUGAUCUACAACAACCUUAGUUAAUAGUAAUUAGGGAUGUCGAAUUGACGAAAGAUGGAAUACCUUCUGACUUUGGUUGGGUUAAUAUUUACCUUUUUAAGUAAAAUAUUAUAUAUGACUCAAAAUUUUCUUUUGUUUAUUCUAUUCAUAUUCUGUUAUAUAGUGUAAUAUGGUAUAAAGCUUAUAAGGGAUAGGUGGCUAAUUGGCAGUUUGACUGGGGCGGUCGUCUUUGAUAAAGUAGCAAAGUACAUCCAAAGAUAUUUAUUUAUUAGAAACAAUCUUUUUUUAAAAAGAUACUUACUAAAAAUUCAUAGUAUCUAUAUAAACUAUGAAGAAUAUAAUUUAUUAUAUUUUUAUUAACUUAAGGUAUAGCUAGAAAAUUGAAUGGAAAUCAAUCAACCAGUGUGAAAGGUUGUAAUAGGCGUAAUGGCGGAAAGCAUGCCUAACUGAAAGACUUAGAAGUCGAACAGAUACGUAAGUAGGGCAUAGUGACCCUUCGCUAUAUUAUGGAAUAGACGGGGAUCAAUCGAUAAAAGUUACGCUAGGGAUAACAGGCUGAUAGCUGGUGAGAGUACACAUUGUCCCGGCUGUUUGGCACCUCGAUGUCGACUCAACCUAUCCUCCGGGGGUAGAAGCUUGGAAGGGUUCGGCUGUUCGCCGAUUAAAAGGUUACGCGAGUUGGGUUUAAUACGACGUGAGUCAGUAUGGUCCCUAUCUUCUGGAGGGAUAUAUAUGAAAGAGAGUAGACUUUCUAGUACGAAAGGAUCAAUAAGCUGUGUUUCUCUUGUGUACCAAUUGUUCACCUAAUAUUUCUCUCCAGGAAGAUAGGUGGGCAUAGUUGGGUAGCUACAAACAUGUUAGAUAAGUGCUGAAUGAAUCUAAAGCACGAAACUAUCUCUCAGACAUAUAAAAAUUAUCUAAAAUUAAAAAAAAAAAAAUUUUUUUUAUUAUAAAAACUCUUCUUAUUCACAUUGAUUAAAAAGAAAACUAAUAAAAUAUCAAUUAAAAAGAUAAUCAAUAAGAUAGUAUCUUAGCACAAGGCUAAAAUUUUUAAUCUUAAUUAUAAAAAAUAGAACAUUUUUAAAUAGGGUAUAUGUGUAAGCAUUGUAAAAUGUGUAGCUUAAUACUACUAAUUUAUAAUCGGCUAGAUGUUAAUAAUUGUUUCAAUUAAAAAAUUUUUAAAUAAGGGUAUAAAUUAUUAAUCAAAUAUUUUUAUUUUUUUAAUUUACGGUUUAUCAAAUAUUUAUUAAUUUAUAUAACCCUAUCUAUUAGAUUAUUUAUUCUUUUAUAUAAAAGUCUUGUUAUAAGAGACUGUUAUUAUAACAGCAAUAUGUUAGUUAAAAAGUAUAAUCUAAGCCAUGCCAAGCUUAAGUUGUUAGUGCAAAUCUAACACAUGUUAAAUAGGUAUAAACCGUAAAUUUAACCUAUAAGAUCAUUACUUAUAAUUAGGUGUGAGGAAUAUAUAACUGAGGCAUAGCAACCUUGCUAAAAAAGUUUUAUAUUUAGAUUCCUAGUUUAACAAAAAUAAGUAAUUCUAUUUUAUAAGGUACUAAGGAUCCACUUAUAAAAUAAGUCUAUAAAAGAUGUAGUCAUCUUUUCUUAUCAUAUUACAAGUACCCAAAGGAUAUAAAAAUUAAAUUAAAAUUAAAUAAGUAACAUGAAAAAACUGUUCUUCAACAAAUUAAAAAAUAUUAUCAAUAGUGUUCAAAACUUAUUAAAAAUCUUAAAUCAAAAGAUUGAAAAAUUUUUAAUAGAAGAUGGAGAUCUAAGUAUAGUUUUAGAUUUUACAACAUAUAAAGAAGAUUUUUCACAUGCAACUUUCCAAUUUUCUAACCCUCAGUUAUUAGAUAUUUAUAGUUCAUUGAAAGAAAUAUUUUUUAUAAUGCAAAAUCAUGAAAUUUAUGGUAAAUUAGGUAGCCAACUAAUAAUAUUCAUCGUAGUUGAGGCUGUAGAUUCACAAGGUAAUAGUGUAGGUUAUAAAUCUCUCCAUCAUCAAUGGUUAAUUGACUCACAAAUUUCUUUUGAUGAAUACUUUAGUCAUGUUAGUGAUAGACUAACUACCAUGAGUGAUGAACAUGGUUAUUCUUUAGAUAUAUUUUUAACUUUUAGAGUGGAUAUAUGGUCAGCUGAUCAAUAUAAAAACAAAACAGUUAAAAUUAUUAGUAACAGAAAAUUAUCUGAUGUUAAAGAAUCAGAUGAAGUUAGACAUAAAUCAACACCUUUGAAUAGUAGUUUUCUUGGUCAUAGAGAAAUCCAUACUACAGCUAUCAAAUAUAAUUCAAAUAUUAGAACAGCACCUAAACCAGUUAAAAGACUUACUAUUUCUCCAUUGGUUAGAAAACCUAAAUCAUUUAAACCAGUGCAUGCUUUCGAUUUAGAAACAGUUGAUUGUAAUGGUAUUCAAGUACCAGUUCUGAUAACUUUCUUUAACGGAGUUAGUCCAGAAAAAUCAAUGGCUUUUCCAAUAAAUGAAAGAGUUUAUUCAAACCCGUCUUUACUAGAAAAUUAUGUAAGUAGUAUGUGGGAUCAAUUUAUAGAUCACAUAUACGAUACAUGUAAAGAUAAAACAAAUAUUAUAUUCGCACAUAAUCUCGGUAGUUUUGAUGGUUAUUUUUUAUUUAAAUUCUUGUCUCACUAUUACCCUGAAUGUGUUACAGGAAUAGUCGACUUUGACAACAAAUUUAUAACUAUUACAUUUAACUACUACGAUAAAACUUUUAUUUUCAAAGAUAGUUUCAGAUUAUUUCCAGUUUCUUUGAACGAUCUAGCUGAAAUAUUUGGACUUAAAGGUAAAAUUGAUUAUAAUCCUAUUUAUAAUAAUUUAGCUGUAUUAGCUGAUCCUGAGGUUAGGCAGCUUUUUAUUAGCUAUGGAAAAAGUGAUUCCGAAUUAUUAUAUAAUACAAUAAUUAGAGCACAACAAUUCUAUUUUAACAGAUUUCAUAUUGAUAUCGCAGAUUGUUUCUCUUUGCCUUCAAUGUCUUUAAAAAUUUUUAGGACUAAUUAUUUAAGAUUUGAUAUACCAAUUCUUAAAGAUAGUCAUGAUAAAUUUAUUAGAAGAAGUUAUUUUGGAGGAGCCACUGAUAUCUAUUUACAACAUGCUACUAAUGUUUAUUAUUAUGACAUUAAUUCCUUAUACCCUUUUGCUAUGUGUAAAGAUAUGCCUUAUGAAUUUUUAGGCUAUCUUAAAAGAUCUCAAAUGAGUAUAAUGGAAAAAGAAGGGUUAGGUAACUUCUUCGGAUUUUUAGAAGUGGAUGUGGAGUGCCCUAGAGAUAUCAUCAGACCAGUGUUACCUACUGAAGAUAAAGGUAGAACUUUAUUCCCUACUGGAAAAUUUACAGGAGUAUAUUUCUCAGAAGAAAUAAAAGCUGUAAUUCCUUUAGGGUAUAAAAUUCUAAGAAUCAGAGCUGCAAUGGAAUUUAGUAGAGCUGACUUAUUUUCAACAUAUGUUAAAGAUAUGUAUGAGAUUAAAAGUACUACUACGGGUGCAGAAAGAUGGAUAGCUAAACUUCAUUUAAAUAGUCUAUAUGGAAUAUUUGGAAGAAGAUUAGAAAGCCUUCAAACACUUAUUAUUAAUAACAACCAACUAAGUGAUUAUUUACUUACAACUGUAAUUAAAAACAUAAUCCCUAUCAACAACACACACACAUUAUUAUUAACAAUGGGUAAUUUAUCAAAUAAAAUUGCUUCUAAAUUAAAUCUACAGAUUGUAGAGGGUUCUCCUAAAUUUAAAUCACCUGUUAAAUCUAAUGUAGCUAUUGCUUCAGCUAUAACAGCAUGGGCUAGAAUAGAGAUGAUUAAAUAUAAAUUAGACCCUUAUGUUAUUUAUUCAGAUACAGACUCUAUACUUACAUUGGGAAAAAUAUCUGAUCAUUUAUUAGGUACUUCAUUAGGUUUAAUGAAAGAUGAAAUGAAUGGAAAAAUAAUUAAAGAGUUAUUUGUAUUAGGUAUUAAACAAUAUGGUUUUUGGUAUUAUGAUGAUAAUGGUACUAGAGUAGAAAAGUCUGUAUGGGCUGGUUACACUAGAGAUGGAUUAUCAUUUAAUGAUAUUAAGGAAUUAGCUGCAGGUAACAAAUUAACUAGAGUAGUUAAAAGUAGAUUUUAUAGAUCAAUUAAUGAAUUAUCAAUUAGAAUUAAAGAUAUCACCUUAACUAUUCAAGCAACUCCUCAUAAAAAGUUAAUAGAUAAUGUUUAUCAACCUAUUCAUAUUAAUAAACUAACUUAUGAAGAUUCUUUCUUCAAAAAAAUAUUAGGUUAUGUAACAAGAAUAAGCAAAUUAGUGAAAAAGAUUGUAUCCUAAAUAAUAUAACCCCCUUGUAUUUAUAUAAAUGCUGCUAACAUAUAAAAUUACAACUAUGAAAAACUUUUUUUACAACUUUAUUAAGUCUUUUUUAGACGAAAAACAAAUUAAAACUAUCUAUAUAUUAUUAAAAUAUAGUUUUUACAUAUUUAUUAUAAUCCAUUAUACUAUUGGGAUUUUAUCAGUUUUUAAUGAAGCUCUUUUUAAUUCAAUUCAUGAAAUUAUUAUAAGCUAUAUUGUAAUUAUCACUGAAAAAAUUAUUCCAAUUUAUAAUAAAUUCUUUAAUAAUGAAUCAUACACUUAUAUUCCUAAUUUGGUAUCAUCUUCAUAUAAAAUUAUUAAGAGUCAAUACGAAACAACCAAAUAUGGGUUAUGGUCAACAAUUUUCAGUUUAACUCCCCUAGAUUAUUUUUUAUUAGAAAUAUUAGGUGGUGAACUGUCUAUGAUUUUCAUAACUUUAUUUAUAAACAUUGUGUUUAAGAAAUAAUUGUUAAUCCCCCAUUAUAUUAAAACUGCUGCUGCUAACAUAUUUAAAAAAAUAUAAAAAUUUAACAAACAAAAACACCAUGAAAAAAUUUAUAUUAUAUAUAUUAACCAAUUUAACAUUCAAAAAAAUGGUUUUACCCAUUAUUAUUAGAUUAUUAAAAGUUGUCUUUAGUGAAAGACAAAUCAUAUUUUUAUUAAAACAUUUCUCAUUCAUAUUUGGAAUAUUUAGAACUAUGAACGCCUUAUUAGGAUUUUUAUUAUUUAUAAAUAUUUUUGAUUUUACUAACAUUUUUUCAAUUUUAGGAAUCUUUAAUGCUAUUGUUACAUUCUUUAGAAUGAUAUUCGAUAAUUUUUUUAAAGUUAUUAAUAAAUUAUUAGCACCUUCUCCUGUAAUUAAUAUUAAUAUUGAAAAAUUAGAAUCUGUUAAAAGAUUAAAUGAUUUUUCAAGAGAGACAUCGAAUAAAUAUGAAAGUUUAAGAGAGUUGUAUAAUAAACCUAUAAUGAUUUCAGAACCUGAAUCAAUAUUUAAAUCUUAUUUAUAUUAUAUUGCUGGAUUAUUAUUACUUAUGUUAUUAGGGUUCGGUAUCUUCAAAUUCUUUGGGGGUGGUAGUACCGAUUUCAAAGGAAAAUCUGUAGAUAGAUCCCAUUUAGGUGAUGUUUUUACUACUCCUGAACCAAGAAUUACCACCCCAUCACUACUUGGAAGUAUUAGAAGUAUAUUAUCUGAAAGAAGUCAUUAUUUUAGAUCACCUGGUAAUAGUGACUCACCAACAAAAAGUGCUGGUAAUACAACCCAAUUAAUGGAUUCACCAUCAACUAGUCAAUUAACAGAAACACCUGUUCUUAAAGAACAGGUUUCUAUGUUUUCUAAUGUUUUAAGAUGGUUUGGUUUAGGUAAAGAUAGACCUUUUGUACCUGGAGAAGGUGUAGCAAUUCCUGUGUUUGAAUCAGGUAUCGAACAUAAAGAUAUAGAGUUAACUGAUGUAACAUCUAACAUACAAUCUAAUAUUGUAGAAGAUGUUGUUGAACAGGUAUUACCAAGUGAUCCUACAAUACCUAGACUUGAUCACUCAUUAUAUGUAGACCCUUACGCUAAGAUUAGAGCUGAAUUAAUUGGUGGAGUAAGUAAUAAUAAUUCUUCACCAAAUACAUUACUUUCAGAUGUUGAGUUAGAUAUUUUAUAUUCUAACUUUGAGAACAAAUAUGAAGUAUUAUUGGAUAAUCAGUCUACUAUUAUUUAUAGUGAUUCUAGUUCAACUUCAUCAACACCUCACCCAUUAUCUAACAUAUUAGAUGAUGAUAUAACCCCUUAUGAUCUCUAAUAAGAUGUUAUUAUUUUACCCCCUUCCCUUAAAAAUUUUAGCCUUGUGCUAAGAUACUAUCUUAUUGAUUAUCUUUUUAAUUGAUAUUUUAUUAGUUUUCUUUUUAAUCAAUGUGAAUAAGAAAUAGAACAUUUCUAAAUAGGAUGCAAAUGAAAGUGCUGUAA